GCAACUUUUAUUUUGAGGUGAUGGGAACUGAACUGCUUAUGUUAGAAACAUGAUCUUUUAGUUUUUAUGUUAUGGAUAUCACUUGUCAUAUAUUUCGAACUACCUAAGCAGUGCUUGUACUUUUCAAGCAAGUCAUGACAGUAUUUAAAUCAGACAAUGAAAUAAACAUUGCUGCUCCCAAACAAGAGGCUGGCCAGAAGUAUAAGCUUAGGUCAGCAAAACCUGAAUUAAUCAUAAAUCUGUGGCUCAGUUCCAAGUCUACUAGUGAAAAGCUAACUAGAGAAUAACCUAAAAUAGAGAGAAGGAAGAAGAAGCUGAGCAGUGUUGUGGUUUAAGCCCUGUGCUGGGGCCAGGGAGUGCUGCCUCCCCAGCUCCAGCUUUAGCCCUGGUGAUGGCCCUGCUGGGGAGGAGGCAACACACACACAGCCUGUCCCCCAGCCACUGCCUGACAAACCAUAGCCAUUUGUGUGUGGCUGAGGGCCACUGCCAGACUGCAGUUGGCAGCUCAGGAGGAGGAAACCACUGAGAAGAAGAAAGCCCCACCAUGACUAUCACUCUCCUCCUGCUGAGGACAGCAGGAUGCUGGCGCUUUGUCACAACACGUUCUGCCCCUCCGCUCCAGGAGGCAGGAAGCUGUCAGCCUGCAUUGGCCAAGCUGCAUUGGAAGGAUAAGCAUGAUACCCAAGGAAAAAGAUCCAUAUUUGUAAGCUUUUCUUAUGGAGAAACUUGAAAAUGGGCCAGAAAGGCAGAAGGGUCAAAAGGAUGCUGUCAGAGGGAUUUGACCUUUCAGCUGAAGCUACCGACAAAGGUUUCCAUCUAAUGGUGAUUUUGGUGGCAGUUGCUGUGACAAGCCCAUCCAUCUACAGCCUUCUACCACUUGCAUCUUCCCAAUAACUGAAUACCCACUUCAUUAUUACGACCUGCACUGAGCAACAGAUUUUUAUGAGUUAACACCUGUGUAGCCCUCAGAGAAAGCCUGGACUUCUCUACUUCACUGUAAUAUAUUGGCUGCUGUCCUGCACUUUAUGGAGCAAAAUACCAGUGUUCAGUAUAACAAAUUCCCCACCAAAAUAAAUUAGUUUAGUGAUCAUCA
rnacentral:lncRNA from 1 species